AUAUUUAUUGCUACCGAAUAUUUGUGUUGAAUAAUUUUUAGGUAGAUUUCGUAGAAAUCUAUCUAUUGCAUUGUCGGAAUUCACACGGAAUUUUGUCAUUUUAACUCUUAUUUAGUCGAGUAAGGCUUAAAAUUAGCAUUGGUUCAAAAAUUUAUAUAUUUAUGUAUAUAUAUAUAUACGUAAUGUAACGCGGUUUGUGGACACGAUAGCGUCUACAAUUUUCAAUGGAUUUAGAUGAAACUUGCUACACAUAUUCUUUGGAUAAUAACCUUGAAUGAGUUUAAAGAUGAGCGAAAUCCGUCAAUAAGUUUAGAAAUGGUAGCUGUUCAAAUUUAUCAAAAUAGUGAAAAUUACAUUUUUGGUGAUUUCAUUGAUGUAUAACUUUUGAUUGAAAAGAGAUGACUAAUAGUUGAUAAAUUCUUGUGAAAGCUCAUAAAAUUACCUUUAAUUUGAUGUAUAUGACAUUGAAACUUUGACCAUUCUUAGUUAUUUUAUCAAAGUUAAGAGUUCUAUUGAAUCAUUUUCAGGCAAUGUAUAGUACAACCGACUUAUGAAUGUUAUUCUAUCGAGAAUUUUCAAGAGAUCCUAACAAAAUUUAGUAUAUAGAUUCCUUGGACAAUUAGCUUGCAUAAGCCUUAAAAUGAGCGGUCCUUCAAUUAGUUCAGAAAUAGUAGCUCUUCAAAAUGAUCAAAAUAGUAAAAAUUACGUUUUUGGUGACUUCACUUAUGGAUAACUUUUGAUAGAAAAAAGAUAGCUAAUUUUUAAUAAAUUCAUGCAAAAGCUCACAAAAUUACCCCUAAUUUGACGUAAAUAACGUCAACUUUUUGACAAUUAUUAGUUAUUUUAUCGAAGUUAAGAGUUCAAUUGAACCAUUUUCAGGCAAUGUGUAGUACAACCUACUCAUGUGUGGCCGAAUGGCGUUUUUUUCUUUUCGAAUAGAUAAUAAAGACAAUAAUUUUUGGCAGGUCGAAUUAUCGAGACUAUUUUGUAGGAAUAUUCAAU